rnacentral:pre_miRNA from 1 species
CGCGGCUGGCUGACAGAAGAGAGUGAGCACACAGCGGGCAGACUGCAUCUGAAUUACCUGUUGCGACGAAGAAGACGACGGACGCAGCUUGCCGUUGCGUGCUCACUUCUCUCUCUGUCAGCUCUCUCUC